rnacentral:rRNA from 1 species
AUGAACGCUGGCGGCGUGGAUAAGGCAUGCAAGUCGAGUGGGUUUAGACCCACGGCGAACGAGGUAGUAACACGUAGGUACGCACCCCAAAGUCGGGCAUAACUAGCCGAAAGGUUAGAUAAUUCUCGAUGGUCCGCGUGAUGUCGCAAGACAUUAUGCGGUAAAGAUUUAUCGCUUUGGGAGCGGCCUGCGGGAUAUCAGCUAGUUGGUAGGGUAAAGGCCUACCAAGGCUAUGACGUCUAGGGGAGCUGAGAGGCUGACCCCCACCGAUGGCACUGAGAAACGGGCCAUACUCCUACGGGAGGCCGCAGUCGAGAAUCUUCCACAAUGGACGAAAGUCUGAUGGAGCGACGCCGCGUGAUCGAUGAAGUCCUUAGGGACGUAAAGAUCUUUUAUCGGGGAGAAAGUUUAUUGAUAGUACCCGAGGAAUAAGGGGUUGCUAAACUCGU